UCUCCGUUGGUGAACCAGCGGAGGGAUCAUUAUCGAGUUUAUAACUCCCAAACCCUAUGUGAACUUACCACUUGUUGCUUCGGCGCGCGCUUCGGUGCCGCCGAGGACACUUAAACUCUUUGUUUUUAUAAGCAUUUCUGAGUGGCCGAAAGGUAAAAUACAAAUGAAUCAAAACUUUCAACAACGGAUCUCUUGGUUCUG
rnacentral:misc_RNA from 1 species